UCCCUGUUGCCAGGGCAGUCUAGCUAGAAAAAUCCAACUAACUAUAAGGGUUGCGCUCGUUGAUGGACUUAACCAAACAUCUCACGACACGAGCUGACGACGGCCAUGCAGCACCUGUCACUGCGCUCAAUAAAGCACAUUCGCCUUUCGGCAAACUUCGCAGGAUGUCAAACCUGGGUAAGGUUCUUCGCUUACCAUCGAAUUAAACAACACGCUCCACCGCUUGUGCGGGUCCCCGUCAAUUCCUUUAUGUUUUAAGCUUGCGCUCGUACUCCACAGGCGGGAUGCUUAACGCGUUAGCUUCGCUACUAGAAGGGUCGAUACUUCUAACAGCUAGCAUCCAUAGUUUACGGCGUGGACUAC
rnacentral:misc_RNA from 1 species